ACCAAAGGACUCUUCCUGCACAAAAUUUCAGGCUUUUUCCCAGUUCUUUUAAACUCCAGCAGACUGGAUUAGCAGCUUCCCACAACACCUGUGACGGAGGAAAGAACAUCGAGAACAAGAAAACAAAAAAGAGUUGCAGAGAAGAUGAAAGGCCAGAUUGUUAUAUUACGAUACCCAUCACCAGAAGAAAAUGCUGACAAUAUAGGGGAUGGCAGGUCACCUAGGCAAGACGCCUGCCAAGCUGCAGACCACCGCGGACCAUUGUUGGAGACCAACAACAUCGCUUGUUUUUUGGUGACCCGAUGUGGCGUUCUCAUUGGUGUGUGUGUGCCACUGAACCCGGAUGUUUGUUAACCAAAAAUGGAGGUCUUCAGUGACACAUUGCAGUAUCUCCCAGCAGCAUUAGAGCCGCAGGUGUUUUUCACUGAACCGUCCCUGGUUUUCCAGCAACUUCUGUGUCACCAAACAAGUCUUUUAAGCCAAAAUAUCAUCUUUGCCCAACCAUAACCAAGCGACUUUUUGUGACUAAGUUUUAAAGUAUCCACGACAAAACAAUGUAUAACUGUAACAUAUCAGUGGUUUGCAGAAACAAACAAUGCCAAAAUGUUUUCUGGUGAUUGGGUUGAUUUAAUAUUUGUUGCUCAAUUCACUCACUUAUAUUUGUCUACUAUUUUGACUUUUCCAUCCUUUAUCUAGAAAAGUUAAUGACCUUUGUUUUGUCUAAAAACUCUUUCUUUCCGUCUUCUUCAAAUAACUAACACACACCUAAACAGCCUGGACCAAC